AUAUCAAAUUCUCUUCUCUUUAGGCACAGAAAUGUUCUGCCCACCGGAGUUCAAUGUCACUGGCAGGUACCAUGCAAAGCCGGCGACAGUAUGUUCAUUAGAGAUCCUGCUGUUCGUGAUGGUAUUAUCCAGACGACAAAGACCUGCACAGGAUCAGUAAGAAGGACUGGUCCGAACCUGACCUGCCACAAGAAUGCUGCCAGAUGAUCUGUGAUUGUCUGCAGCCUGAUCCGCAGCGGAGACUUGUCCUGGAGGAGAUGCAGCUCCAUGACUGGUUUAUGGUACUAAGAUUAGAGCCCAAGGUUGUGGAGUAAGACAAGGAGAGCAAGAAGAAAACUACUCCCUGUCACGGCCACUGUUGUUUUCUUUUUUUGUCUUCGGUCAGCUUUGCGUCUGGCAGGCUGACGUGAGCGGCCUUUCCAUCUCUCCACUUUGGCCUUGGCCUCUUGUUUCC